UUUCUGGGAUGAAUCAAACUAGCUCACAAUGGCUGACAGCAAGAACACAUGAACACCUGAGAAAC
ensembl:snoRNA SNORD29 Small nucleolar RNA SNORD29